CUCACUUCACCAGAGCCCAGGUCCCUCAUAAAGCAGGCUGCAGUGCCUCCUAGUGGCCGAAAUCAGAAAGGGCCAUAACUGAACUGAGACUUCGUAAGCCCUUUUCAGGUUAAUGUGGGGAUCUGGGCAGAUUAUGAGGUUCACUGAUUUUAUAUGAAGAAAAUAAAAAGUAUGAACCCAAUUCUAGUUAUUAAUCAAGAAACAAUUAUUUAUUGGCGAAACGUGCUAGUUUAAAUGUAGUGAUCAAUGACACUCUCCAGGUGCUCUCUCAUAGUGGAGGGUCGUGAUGAUGGAGGAUCAGAAACCCGCAAACUUGGCUGAGAAAAUGGAGCCGAGGAAAAUUCUCGGGCAAAUUCACUGAGGAAGAGUCGAUCACCAUUCCUGUUGCCUGACUGGUGUAACAUCAACUCUCAGGCAUGUCAGAUCAAGAGGGAGAACCAUAGUAAACGAAGAAAGUGGAGCCGUGUGCUUGCGCUGAGAGCCAUGUGGAACCAAGUUAUUGAAGAUGGAUCCACAGAAUGGUAGUUACACAUAAGGAUGUACCAGAUGAUGACUUUUAAAAUCCAGAUUGAAGACUACACAAUCAAAACGAGAACCUCUUACAUCUAAUGAUUCCUUAUACCGUCAGUGUUCUUUGAAGAUAUAAAUUGAAUAUGUCUUUAUGAACUCUUUGCUAGGAAAAAAAAAGAACUGCUAAGUCAAUACUAUACCUGCCUUCCCUCUUUGAUUAAAAAUUUAAACCAUUUAUAACCA